AUGUUUUUAUUUCCAUUUUUUUUUUUAGAUGCAGAAAUGGAGACUUAAAGAGGCUGAAUAAUUUGCCCAAUAUCAUAGAGCUAGUAACUCUUGGGGCUGGAAUUUGAACCCAGGCAGUCCUGCUCUAGCAUUGGAGCUACCACUUGGUCACACCAGCAUAUCAGGUGUGUGUGUAUCUCUGGCCAAUUAACCUUUCUGGCUGGCAAAAUCUCACCUCUACCUGAACUCCAGGGAGAGAAGGCUAUCUUUAAAGGUUCCCAUUUCAUUUUUCAGUUUAAUUGUUAGAAAGUCCUUCAUUAUAUUGAACUAAAAUCUGCCUCCCCAAGGCUUCCAUUGAUCUUCACAGUACAAAUUUAAUCCCCCUUCCAUACAAACGCUCUCACACAGAUGUGUGCCACCCCGCCCCCAUGCCUCUUCCUGCGCAUCGUUUGUGGGAACACUGGAAAUAGGCCCUCUCAUGGUUCCAAGCCCCCAAAGCAGCUGAGGCCAAGGGGAGGCUGGAUGGAGCUUAUGGAGGGGGUGGAAUGUUAAAUCAGGUAUUGCAAAUAGCUCCCAGGCAAUAUUUAGAACCAUGGGCAAGAAUUUCUUGGGAACUAGCUGAGUGGUCCUAUCAUCCCUGAAUUAUAUGCCACCCUGUAUCAUAGAUGUUGCUAUAAGAUGUAUUUGGUCCUAAAAUUGGGGAGCACAGUGGAAUAGCUGUGACUGUGACCCUCUGAUUUAUAGCUGAAUCUUUAUUCCAACUUAAUGAGGUUCCCUAGGAAAGGGAACCAUGUGCAAAAAAAUUAGUGAGGAUGAGACACAGAAAGACAUAAAAAUGGAGAGGAUGAAGGACCCCAGUGAUAUGAAAAGCGGUUCUGCAGCAGGAAAGAUGGCAGCAGAUAAGGCAAGGAGAUAAAUGAAUACCUUGGUCUGGACAUGAAAGAGCUGGAAGUGUUUGUCUUCUCCACUGAUUACAUAAUAGAAAUCAGAACACUUAAGAAAGUUGCCAGGUGGAUAUAGUACUAAAGCAACCAAGCCAGCUCCCCUAGAGGGCUUCAUGGAAAGGAAUGAGAAGAAGCACCUUUGACAGCAAUCUUUAGCUAUCUUCUGUCCCUUUCUCCCCUCAACUACCAGCUUUUAGUUUGACUAUGGCACCCAAUGGAUUCAUGGCCUAUUAUCUAUCCUUUUGUGGUCACAUGGCCAAGAAUUUCCAAAAGGUCAGCAAUGAUGACAGCCCCAAAACCUGGUAGAACCCAAAUCCUGACCCCCAACCGAAGAUCUUUGGAGAAAUGGCAAAGAUAUGCAAUAAAAUAAAGAUGCCUCUGUUGUGCUAAUUGUGUGUUCAAACAUCCAUUCAAAGACACGUGGGCCAGGCCUGUAGCUACAGUGGUAAGCAAGACCAACUCAGUCUCCAUGUCAGGCUAAUCAGACUCAUUGUGCAAAACUCUGUGUUAGCCUGAGCUGGUAUGAAGCUCUGAUCAUCUCAGCCCCCUUUUAGGACUUUUAGGAAGGAGAUGUGGAGGGUGAACAUUUUCUCUGCAGUUGGAAUAGGAUGCUGCUGGCUGGAUACUAGCUCUGCCUGUGUUGGCUCUCUUCUUGGAGAUGUGAGGUGUACAGCUAUGGGGGUGGGGGCGUAGGGUGCUUCUCAGAGGAAUAUCCACAGGCUUCCCCCCUUCACACUCCAUUGGACAAUUCCCCUUUGUCUAAAUUUGGAUAUUGCUCUCUAAUGCACAGAGGCUAAGCGUAGCAGUGUCAGCCUCUCCUGGAAUAUGGGGCCAGGCCUUUGAGCAGACAGGCAUUCCUCAUCUUCAGUCUCUCAGCAUCUCAGAGCGAUUAACAUAACAUGACACCAGGCCCAUCAAGAUAAGGAUCCUAAUGGCCACAAUGGCUUCCCUUUCUUCCCCCAGCCCUUCUUUAUUGCUCUGUGCUUUCCGCUCACUUCCAGCAGGGAAGAGUUUAGAAGCAUGGGGCUAGGCCAGCCGUUCUGCAGGCUGCUUCCCGCAAGGCUUGUGCGAGGGCUCCAGGGACGGGAGGCAUUUCCCUUUAAUAAGCUUCUCACACUACAUUAAAGAUAAAAGGGGAAGGGAAAUAUUUAUAUUCUGACAAAGCAGCUCUUCCCUUCAGGCUCUUGUUUUAUUUAUUAACUUGCUCUGUCCCUCUCUCUCUCCUCUCUCUCUGUUUCAGGGGCUAGGCAUUUGCGGUCCUUCUCCCCUUUAGUCAUUAAUUUUGUGGGUGAGUGACAGUGACAGGGGGACUUGGAAUUGUUGUCAAAGAGACGGGAUUGUAGGUGGGUGCCAUUCCCAGGGGACACAAACAGCUGUUUCUCCAUCCUCCUGGGAGCUACUUCCCAUUACCACUCUUAUUAUAUAGCACCUGGACGGUGGAAUAGAUCACACUGGUUAAGUUAUGUCAUUUUUAAAUGAAGCUGUGUCAGUGGGCAAAUUGUCAGAGGUAUGGUAACCUAGGUGGGUGGCUGUGUGCCGGGGAUCUCUUCGACCUCCUGUUUUAUGACACAUUUUCUUCUCUCACAGAGAUGAUCCCUUAAGGAGGCUUAUUUCUUCCCAGCUAAUCUACCCAGAGCCAAUAAAACAUGGGUAUGCUGUUCUGAAUCUUGAUUUAUCCUUUUGCAAUGAUUAUCGUUAAAGUUUCAGACCACCUAUUGUUCUAAAGCUGUGGCAGGUUGUUAAGGAGUUAAUCCUCUAUUCCCUACCCACCACUUACCCCCUUUAAGGAGUCUGCCUUGAUUAGUGGAGGCAGGAGGACAGGAGAGGUUAGGUUCUGCUCUUUUGGCUUGGGUAGUAAGUACCUGGGAGUUGAAGCUUCUGCUUUUUGGUAAUUUCUUUUUCUUUUUAAAAAUGACACAUGAUCAUCACUUAAAAAUUCAAGAACAAGGAAAGCAACAAAUGACCUGCCCAUCUGUGGAGAAGCAAAGGUGGGUCAAGAGCUCAGAUUUUGGAGCCUGCAUCUCUGGGCUGGAUCCUUUAGCUCUACCAUGUAUUAACAGCAGGAGACAGUGCCCGGCCUCAGUUUCCUUACCAGUAAAAU
rnacentral:lncRNA from 1 species